AAGGCCUUAGCUUAAUUAAAGUGUCUGAGUUGCAUUCAGAAGAUGUGGGAUAAAGCCCCGCAGGCCUUA
rnacentral:tRNA from 3 species